AAGACUGGUAAUGUACACUUUAUAGGAGGGGCAGAAAGAAAGAGUGGAGACCAUGCCACGGAGGAUAAACUUUUAUUUCAAAUAAAAGCUGCACUGUUACAAGCUGAAGAAGGAUGACUUUUCAUGCAGAAGGGUACACGGAGCAACACAACCAGAAUGGAUGAGCUACCAUGGAACGCAGUGAUAGAAGGAUGCUCUCAAGAGCUGCCCAGGAAGAAAUGAAGAGCGGGUUCCCUUCAAAAGCCUCAGAAGUAGACCAGCCUUGACCACUUUCGUUCUUAAAGGCAAUGGAGUGUCAUAUCAAUUUCAAAGGAAGGUACUUUUUAAGAUCAAAUCCCAUAUCAAACCAAAUUAUUGCUCAAUAAUAAACACAGUUUCAGACAAAGAAAAAGUGUCUUUCUAACCAUCUUUCAAGAAAAAAUAAAUUCAGGGUGGUCCUUGGCAGAACUGAAACUCAAUCUAAUCAGGAUGAAGAUGUGAGGUUUGGGGCAGGGGAGGGGAACAUUCUUCCGGUGAGUGUGCCAACAAUACUCAAACGCCAGUUACAAGUGCAGGUGAAAACCACUUCUAUAAAAUAAAAACAUGGCACAAAAGUGAGAGAUUAAACGUGGGCAAUUGGAUCCAAUAAAAGAGUGUAAUGAACACAAAUAUUUUUAACUUUGACAAGAAAUUUUCUUUCAUUUUAGUGUCACGAGAAUUUGUUACGUAUGUGACAAAUAACAUUCAGAUAACUAUAAUACUGUUAAUAUUGCUUAUUCAAUUUUCGUGUUUAGAAUCAUCAUACACAUACAUUGAAUGGUUGGAACUUGCCUGUAUGCCGCCAUUUUGGGUAACAAAAGCAAUGAUGUGAUUAAGUCUAACACGAAGCAUAGAGAGGGAAAUUAAAAAGUUGAUUAUGAAAGAGCAUUUAUGAUUAAAGAGGUAACAAAGAUAAAACUAAAAAUAAGAAAAUAACAAAAACAUUUGGGAAAGAGAAAGUAAGACAGAGAAAAAAUGAUACAUUGAUCUUCUAGUCACAGCUGACUAAACAAUCACGGUUGUGUAACAAUGAUGAAAACAAUCACCAUUUAAGGGAUUGCUCCCGGGGGUGAGGAAAUCAGCCUGAGGACUGAAAGGGAAAGACACAGCCCACGGCUUUCAAUUUUCAUUUAGAAUCCAAUUUUAUUUAAAGAAGUAAUUAUGGCCAGGUGCAGCGGCUCAUAUCUGUAAUCCCAGGGCUUUGGGAGGCUGAGGUGGGCGCAUCAAGAGGUCAGGAGAUCGAGACCAUCCUGGCUAACAUGGAGAAACCCCGUCUCUACUAAAAAUACAAAAAAAUUAGCCGGGCAUGGUGGCGGGUGCCUGUAGUCCCAGCUACUCAGGAAGCUGAGGCAGGAGAAUGGCAUGAACCCGGGAGGUGGAGCUUUCAGUGAACCGAGAUCGCGCCACUGCACUCCAGCGUGGGCGACAGAGCGAGACUCCAUCUCAAAAAAAAAAAAAAAAAAAAAAAAAAGCAAUUACGAAAAUAAGAAAACAACCCCCUGCCCACAGAGCCAUAACCAUGUGAUUCUUCACAUUCAAACUUCCUCUAGUAUCUUCUAUAUCUAGAAAGUUUCCAAGACUUAAAAGGAGGGUUGAUUUAAAAAAAUAGUAUCUGGGAACUUCUCUGAAAAUCGUAAUAAAAAUGCACAGCCCUCCACUCUUCCUAACAAUCAACAGCGGUCAUAUCAGGAAAAGUGAUUUGAGGGCAGUGAACCCACUUCCCAGAGAAACAAACCAUGACUCGUAAAAGGAAUUUUUAAAAAGUGUGCUUUAAAGUCUUUGGAAACAUCCUACAGGUAUAUAGCAACUGAAAAGUGUCUCCUCAAGAAAGUCUACCAGGUCUCUGUAGAGCUAAGAAGGGCGUGUGGCCCUCCCAGCCCUGCUCAGCAGGACACAGCUCCACUCUGGGCGGCCGCAGGGUCAGGAGGAGGCUCCCUCUCCUCAUGGUCUUUCGGGUCCUGGUGAUUUUCUGGGAGGAGCAGGGCACCAGCUUCCUUACUCCCCCUGGCUGGAUGUCCCUGAGCUAAGUCCCAGGCGACUUCCAUCGCAGGAUGCAGCUCUUUCCCUCAGCCAGCCCCGCUUUGUAGGGCAGAAGCUCCUCCCAGGCUGAGGGCUGAGCUUCCUAGGCAGGUGGCCCUGACCCAGCUUGCUGGUGGGUUUCACACUGAUAGCAGCAAACCCAGAAGACCAGAGAUGGCUUUGACACCAGGCACCCAGCUUUUGAGGCAGGGCACCCCUGAGAGACAGUCCCCCUUGUCUUCACCCCAUCCCAGAUCCAAGUCAGUGGUUCAGAUUUUGCCCAGGGAGAGGCAGGCAGUAAGAACCGAGGCUCCAGAACUCUCUGGGAGAGCUGACUGUAUUUAGAACAGACAGUUGGAACAUUCAGGCCGGGCAGCAUUCCCCAUCACAAUGGAGAUGGUGGUGGCGAGCAAUUAGGAGGGCACAGAGAACUCUGUGACAGCAGCAGUGUCACCUUCAGGCCAGCUAAUUCGCAAGGAGAACACGAAUGAAGCAAAGAAGGAAUUUUAGAAAUAAAACGUACAUAAUGAAAGAAAACUUUCUUGAACUGGAAAACAGCCUGACUCUAUAAAGCAAAAAACCCUAAAAAACAGACCUCCUUCUGAAUGGUGGAGACUGCAUUCAUAGGAAAGUUGGCCUCUCCCCAAGGCAAAAUAAACGAAGAAGAAGAAUGUGUGGACACACACACAAACACUCCAUUAAAUUAUGAAGAUUAUGUUUUAUAAAGAAGUUUUCAACCAAAAAAA
rnacentral:lncRNA from 1 species